UACGUAGGGUGCAAGCGUUGCCCGGAUUUAUUGGGCGUAAAGGGCGCGCAGGCGGCCACGCACGUCCGUUGUGAAAUCGCUCGGCUCAACUGGGCGGGGUCGGCGGAUACGGCGCGGCUGGAGCAAGCUAGGGGGCAAUGGAAUUCCCGGUGUAGUGGUGGAAUGCGUAGAUAUCGGGAGGAACACCAGUGGCGAAGGCGGUUGCCUGGAGCUUUGCUGACGCUGAGGCGCGAAAGCGUGGGGAGCAAACAGG
rnacentral:rRNA from 1 species